AAGCCUUAAACCUAUUCUGCAAGUUCAAGAAGACAGAGGCCCACAAAUGAAGAAGAAUCAAAACCCUGAGCCCAGCCAUAACCAAUCCAAUAUGAGAAGACAAAACCACUGGUAUAAACCCAAGCAGAGCCCAUAGCUGCAAUUUCCAAAUAGUUCCGAGAAAACCCUAGCCUCAAAGAGAGCAGUAAGUUUUUCACCCACCGGUGAUUUUGAAGAGGAAGAGAAACCCCUUACUCUCUCUCAAGACGGGACGGCCAUUGACGUCUCUCUCUCCACACUUCUCUCUAAUAGUGUUUCCUCUGUUCACUCCCUCAACCCAAUCUACAAUUUCCUCUCCUCCACAUUACCCCAUUCUGAUUCAAUCUUGAAUUGAAUUUUGCCCCUCCCUCUCUCUGUAGGGUUAGAAAAUCUGACAAAAUGAGCUCAUCACUUGCAUAGAAAACCACCAAUAAUCCUAGUUUAAUUGAUAUGCCCUUUUCCUGGAAGGCAUCACAUUCCCAUACAUCAUUCUCAUAGACACAAUGUAGCAGAUAAUGCAAUGAUAGGUUAGAACCUCAUUCCCAAUUCUUCAUGUGGUCACAACAUUCAGCCAAAUGGUGCCCAAUUCUUCAGGUGGUCACAACAUUCAGCUCCAGCUCCACCAUAUAGUGCCCAAUUCUUCAGUUGGUCACAACAUUCGUUCCACCAUAUGUGAAGAACAGUUUAGAUUCUUCCAAGAACGCACCUCUCAAUUGAGACCUAAAAAGUGGCUCUCUCUUUCGCUUCCAAG
rnacentral:lncRNA from 1 species